rnacentral:misc_RNA from 1 species
GAUGAAGAACGUAGCGAAAUGCGAUACUUGGUGUGAAUUGCAGAAUCCCGUGAACCAUCGAGUCUUUGAACGCAAGUUGCGCCCGAAGCCACUAGGCCGAGGGCACGCCUGCCUGGGCGUCACACGCCGUUGCCCCCCCAUCUACUCCUUCGGGAUUGCGGGGGGGCGGAUGAUGGCCUCCCGUGCGCCUAGCCGCGCGGUUGGCAUAAAUACCAAGUCCUCGGCGACGCACGCCACGACAAUCGGUGGUUGCGAAACCUCGGUUGCCCGUCGUGUGCGUUCGUCGCGCAUCGAGGGCUCGAAAAAAUGCUCGGCUCCGGCUGGGCUUUCAACGCGACCCCAGGUCAGGCGGGGUUACCCGCUGAAUUUAAGCAUAUCAAUGGAGGA